rnacentral:rRNA from 1 species
GUAGGUGAACCUGCGGAAGGAUCAUUAACGAAUUUUAAGUCGGCCUUGCUGUGCUGGUGGAAACACAYGUGCACGCUCGGUCGCAAAUCCACACACCUGUGCAUCUAUGACUCGAAGUYGUCGUCGUAUGACYGAGAGUAACUUUUACACAMUCUUGAAUGUAAAGGAAUGUUCAUGUGCAUAAUGUACAAUUAAACAACUUUCAACAACGGAUCUCUUGGCUCUCGCAUCGAUGAAGAACGCAGCGRAAUGCGAUAAGUAAUGUGAAUUGCAGAAUUCAGUGAAUCAUCGAAUCUUUGAACGCACCUUGCACCCUUUGGUAUUCCGAAGGGUACACCCGUUUGAGUGUCAUUGUAAUCUCACUUSUACAACUUUUUUGUUGUCGAAUGUGGACUUGGACGUCUGCYGUGUUUCAACGGCUCGUCUYAAAUGCCUGAGUGUACCCCGCUUUGCGGCGUAUUCGGUGUGAUAAACAUUUCACCGGAGUUUGGUCUUCUGACCGCGCUUUUGCAAUUGGUGGGCUCUAUGCUUUCCAACCGUCYCUUGUGGACAAAUCUUUGACAAUUUGACCUCAAAUCGGGUGGGACUACCCGCUGAACUUAAGCAUAUCAAUAAGCGGAGGAAAAGAAACUAACAAGGAUUCCCUUAGUAACGGCGAGUGAAGAGGGAAAAGCUCAAAUUUUGAAUCUGGUGUCUUUGACUCCCGAGUUGUAAUCUAGAGAAGUGUUUUCCGURUYGGACCRCGUAUAAGUUCCCUGGAACGGGGCGUCAUAGAGGGUGAGAAUCCCGUAUAUGCCGYGGACUACCRAUGCUCUGUGAUACACUCUCAACGAGUCRAGUUGUUUGGGAAUGCAGCUCAAAAUGGGUGGUAAAUUCCAUCUAAAGCUAAAUAUUGGCGAGAGACCGAUAGCGAACAAGUACCGUGAGGGAAAGAUGAAAAGCACUUUGGAAAGAGAGUGAAACAGUACGUGAAAUUGUUGAAAGGGAAGCGUUUGAAGUCAGUCAYGUUUGUUGGGAUUCAGCCUGGCUUCUGCCUGGUGUAUUUCCUAGCCGACGGGUCAGCAUCAGUUUCGACCAAGGGAAAAAGACAUUUGGAAUGUGGCUGUCUUCGGGCAGUGUUAUAGCCUUGUGUUGUAUGCCUUGGUUGGGACUGAGGAAUGCAGCGCGCC